GACAGAGGUGCCAAGCGUUAGGCGGAAUCACUGGGCUUAAAGCGUGUGUAGGUGGAUGUCUAAGUACCUUGUGAAAUCCCACGGCUCAACCGUGGAACUGCUGGGUAUACUGGACAUCUUGAGCCACUUAGGGGCUACCGGAACAAAUGGUGGAGCGGUGAAAUGCGUAGAUAUCAUUUGGAACGCCAAUGGUGAAAACAGGUAGCUGGGAGUGUGCUGACACUGAGACACGAAAGCCAGGGAGCAAACGGG
rnacentral:rRNA from 1 species